rnacentral:rRNA from 1 species
UACGUAGGGGGCAAGCGUUGUCCGGAAUCAUUGGGCGUAAAGAGCGUGUAGGCGGCUCGAUAAGUCUGCUGUGAAAGUCCAGGGCUCAACCCUGGAAGGCUGGUGGAAACUGUCGGGCUAGAGUCCGGAAGAGGCGAGUGGAAUUCCCGGUGUAGCGGUGAAAUGCGCAGAUAUCGGGAGGAACACCAAUGGCGAAGGCAGCUCGCUGGGACGGUACUGACGCUGAGACGCGAAAGCGUGGGGAGCAAACAGG